rnacentral:siRNA from 1 species
UUGGGCAUCAACUUAUCUUGUG